rnacentral:rRNA from 1 species
AGUGAACGCUGGCGGUAGGCCUAACACAUGCAAGUCGAACGGCAGCACCGUAAGAGCUUGCUCUUACGGGUGGCGAGUGGCGGACGGGUGAGGAAUACAUCGGAAUCUACUUUUUCGUGGGGGAUAACGUCGGGAAACUUACGCUAAUACCGCAUACGACCUACGUGUGAAAGCAGGGGAUCUUCGGACCUUGCGCGAUUGAAUGAGCCGAUGUCGGAUUAGCUAGUUGGCGGGGUAAAGGCCCAACAAGGCGACGAUCCGUAGCUGGUCUGAGAGGAUGAUCAGCCACACUGGAACUGAGACACGGUCCAGACUCCUACGGGAGGCAGCAGUGGGGAAUAUUGGACAAUGGGCGAAAGCCUGAUCCAGCCAUACCGCGUGGGUGAAGAAGGCCUUCGGGUUGUAAAGCCCUUUUGUUGGGAAAGAAAAGCAGCAGGUUAAUACCCCGCUGUUCUGACGGUACUCAAAGAAUAAGCACCGGCUAACUUCGUG